AGAGUUUGAUCCUGGCUCAGGAUAAACGCUGGCGGCAUGCCUAAUACAUGCAAGUCGAACGGAGGUGCUUGCACCUCAGUGGCGAACGGGUGAGUAACACGUAUCUAAUCUACCUUCUAGCGGGGGAUAACUUUUGGAAACGAAAGGUAAUACCGCAUGUGGAUAUUAUCAUCGCAUGAGAAAAUAUUCAAAGAUCCGUUUGGAUCACUAGAAGAUGAGGAUGCGGCGUAUUAGCUAGUAGGCGGGGUAAUGGCCCACCUAGGCGAUGAUACGUAGCCGAACUGAGAGGUUGAUCGGCCACAUUGGGACUGAGAUACGGCCCAGACUCCUACGGGAGGCAGCAGUAGGGAAUUUUUCACAAUGGACGAAAGUCUGAUGAAGCAAUGCCGCGUGAGUGAUGACGGCCUUCGGGUUGUAAAGCUCUGUUGUAAGGGAAGAAAAAAUAGGAGAGGAAAUGCUCUUAUCUUGACGGUACCUUACCAGAAAGCCACGGCUAACUAUGUGCCAGCAGCCGCGGUAAUACAUAGGUGGCAAGCGUUAUCCGGAUUUAUUGGGCGUAUAGGGUGCGUAGGCGGUUUUGCAAGUUUGAGGUUAAAGCCCGGAGCUCAACUCCGGUUCGCCUUGAAAACUGUAAGACUAGAAUAUCAGAGAGGUAAGCGGAAUUCCAUGUGUAGCGGUAAAAUGCGUAGAUAUAUGGAAGAACACCAGUGGCGAAAGCGGCUUACUGGCUGAUUAUUGACGCUGAGGCACGAAAGCGUGGGGAGCAAAUAGGAUUAGAUACCCUAGUAGUCCACGCCGUAAACGUUGAGUACUAAGUAUUGGGGAUUACCUCAGUGCUGCAGCUAACGCAUUAAGUACUCCGCCUGAGUAGUAUGCUCGCAAGAGUGAAACUCAAAGGAAUUGACGGGGACUCGCACAAGUGGUGGAGCAUGUGGUUUAAUUCGAAGCAACACGAAGAACCUUACCAGGGCUUGACAUCCAGUGCAAAGCUACAGAGAUGUAGUGGAAGUUAACAUUGAGACAGGUGGUGCAUGGUUGUCGUCAGUUCGUGCCGUGAGGUGUUGGGUUAAGUCCCGCAACGAACGCAACCCUUGUCGUUAGUUACUACCAUUAAGUUGAGGACUCUAACGAGACUGCUAGUGUAAGCUAGAGGAAGGUGGGGAUGACGUCAAAUCAUCAUGCCCCUUAUGUCCUGGGCUACACACGUGCUACAAUGGCCGAUACAAAGAGUCGCAAUCUCGUGAGGGGGAGCUAAUCUCAUAAAGUCGGUCUCAGUUCGGAUUGAAGUCUGCAACUCGACUUCAUGAAGCCGGAAUCACUAGUAAUCGCGAAUCAGCUAUGUCGCGGUGAAUACGUUCUCGGGUCUUGUACACACCGCCCGUCAAACCACGAGAGUUGGUAAUACCAGAAGUACGUUUCCUAACCGAAAGGAAGGCGCGUCCCAAGGUAGGACUAGCGAUUGGGGUUAAGUCGUAACAAGGUAUCCGUACGGGAACGUGCGGAUGGAUCACCU
rnacentral:rRNA from 1 species